AUACAGCUGACGAGUCCCAAAUAGGACGAAACGAGCGUCAAACUGGAU
rnacentral:hammerhead_ribozyme from 1 species